GAACCGUACAAACGUUAUUCGGGAAUCACUGGGGCUUAAAGGGUGCGUAGGCGGCUCGGCAAGUUGGGUGUGAAAUCCCUCGGGCUCAACCGAGGGAACUGCGCUCAAAACUGCCGAGCUAGAGGGAGACAGAGGUGAGCGGAACUUAGGGUGGAGCGGUGAAAUGCGUUGAUAUCCUAAGGAACACCAGUAGCGAAAGCGGCUCACUGGGUCUCUUCUGACGCUGAGGCACGAAAGCUGGGGGAGCGAACGGGAUUAGAUACCCCGGUAGUCCUAGCUGUAAACGAUGAGCACUGGGUCGGAGAAUCCUCCAUAGUUUUCCGGCCGUAGCGAAAGUGUUAAGUGCUCCGCCUGGGGAGUAUGGUCGCAAAGGCUGA
rnacentral:rRNA from 1 species